GAUGAAGAACGCAGCGAAACGCGAUAUGUAAUGUGAAUUGCAGAAUUCAGUGAAUCAUCGAAUCUUUGAACGCACAUGGCGCCUUCCAGUAUCCUGGGAGGCAUGCCUGUCCGAGCGUCGUUUCAACCCUCGAGCCCCCGUGGCCCGGCGUUGGGGAUCUGCCCAGGCAGUCCCCGAAAACCAGUGGCGGACCCGUUACAGGCCCUUCCCUUGCGUAGUAGCAUUCGCCUCGCAUCGGGAGCCGGCGGGCUUCCAGCCUCUAAACCCCCAUCAAGUCCGCCCCGGCGGCACCAAGGUUGACCUCGGAUCAGGUAGGAAUACCCGCUGAACUUAAGCAUAUCAAUAGCGGAGGA
rnacentral:misc_RNA from 1 species